AAACGACUCUCGGCAACGGAUAUCCCGGCUCUCGCAUCGAUGAAGAACGUAGCGAAAUGCGAUACUUGGUGUGAAUUGCAGAAUCCCGUGAACCAUCGAGUCUUUGAACGCAAGUUGCGCCCGAUGCCAUUAGGUUGAGGGCACGCCUGCCUGGGUGUCA
rnacentral:rRNA from 1 species